CAGUUUAAAGACGACAGAAUCAGAAUCAUUCUAGUUUCCCCGCCAUCUUGUUUCCUGUUGUCAGUCUUCCCGUUUUUCAGCAGUGCCAUUUCUGUAGCUUCUCUCCAAUAACUCAGGUUUAUUUCUCUCCUUGAUCAGAAGGGAACAGCAGAGCUAUGAAAAACUACUGGUCCUUACUAUGUUAUAGCGAGCAUCUUCCAGCUUUCACCUCUGUUUGAAAGACAUCAAUAGAGCAUGUAUAUCUUUGGCAGGCACAUGACAGUGGACAGAUCGGUUUAUGGUUCAGUUAUGUGCAGAUCUUUGCUGGUUAUCCC
rnacentral:lncRNA from 1 species